rnacentral:rRNA from 1 species
AGUUAAAACUUUCAACAACGGAUCUCUUGGCUCUAGCAUCGAUGAAGAACGCAGCGAAAUGCGAUAAGUAAUGUGAAUUGCAGAAUUCAGUGAAUCAUCGAAUCUUUGAACGCACAUUGCGCCUGG